rnacentral:lncRNA from 1 species
UUUUUUUUAAUUAAUACUAACUCAAUUUUUUUUGUUUAUCCUUGUGUUGUCACAUCCUACAACAUCGAGUGUCAGAAAAUGCACAGAAAAGGAGCCAUUGCGCGUGUGAUCACUUGCAUCGUGCGCGCGAUGUUGCAAUUAUGUACAUAUCAUGUACGAUGCUGCACAAUGUUACACUUGAUUACUCAAGUGGGUGCACACUUUUGCUCUCUUUUUCACCUGAUUUUUCACUGAGUCCAAUUUCUUCACACUUAGUUAUUUUUUCUUCAUUAUUCG